AGGCUUGACCUUCUUAUCGAAUGCUUUCUUCAUUCUUUACUGAUAUAACUGACCAUGGCACAUGGCAGUCAAUCGCUUCUCUUCGAUCAAAUUCAGUUGGUCGUAACGACUCUGAACCCAUUCAGCAUUAGUCAACUUGGGGUUUAAGGGUGCCAUUUUUUCCUUUUCUUUUUUUGAUUUUUUGAUUUUUUUUGAUUUUUUUGAUUUUUUUUUUAUUUUUGAUUUUUCACCCCUUUUGAUAUUACAUCUGUAAAACCCCAAUUUGAUUGUUUCCAGGUUCUCAAGAUGCGGCUGAAUGAUCUUCUUUUCAUGCUCAAGAAGACGGGUAAUCUCGUCAGGAAUCUCGUCAACAUCAUCUUCCUCUGCCUCGAAUACAGGGAAUUCAAAAUUGGGAGAUGGCGUUGGAUCAUUAUGUUCAAUGGGUUUAGAAAUCAAC
rnacentral:lncRNA from 1 species